rnacentral:rRNA from 1 species
GACGAACGCUGGCGGCGUGCUUAACACAUGCAAGUCGAGCGGUAAGGCCCUUUCGGGGGUACACGAGCGGCGAACGGGUGAGUAACACGUGGGUGACCUGCCCUUAGCUCUGGGAUAAGCCUGGGAAACUGGGUCUAAUACCGGAUAUGACUCCAUGACGCAUGUUGUGGGGUGGAAAGCCUUGUGCGGCUAGGGAUGGGCCCGCGGCCUAUCAGCUUGUUGGUGGGGUGAUGGCCUACCAAGGCGACGACGGGUAGCCGGCCUGAGAGGGCGACCGGCCACACUGGGACUGAGACACGGCCCAGACUCCUACGGGAGGCAGCAGUGGGGAAUCUUGCGCAAAUGGGCGAAAAGCCUGACGCAGCGACGCCGCGUGGGGAUGACGGC